UCGACCUGAGCUCAGGCAAGG
rnacentral:rRNA from 2 species